rnacentral:rRNA from 1 species
AUUGAACGCUGGCGGCAGGCCUAACACAUGCAAGUCGAGCGGAUGAAGGGAGCUUGCUCCUGGAUUCAGCGGCGGACGGGUGAGUAAUGCCUAGGAAUCUGCCUGGUAGUGGGGGAAACGUCCGGAAACGGGCGCUAAUACCGCAUACGUCCUGAGGGAGAAAGUGGGGGAUCUUCGGACCUCACGCUAUCAGAUGAGCCUAGGUCGGAUUAGCUAGUUGGUGGGGUAAAGGCCUACCAAGGCGACGAUCCGUAACUGGUCUGGGAGGAUGAUCAGUCACACUGGAACUGAGAAACGGUCCAGACUCCUACGGGAGGCAGCAGUGGGGAAUAUUGAACAAUGGGCGAAAGCCUGAUCCAGCCAUGCCGCGUGUGUGAAGAAGGUCUUCGGAUUGUAAAGCACUUUAAGUUGGGAGGAAGGGCAGUAAGUUAAUACCUUGCUGUUUGACGUUACCAACAGAAUAAGCACCGGCUAACUUCGUG